UACGUAGGGGGCGAGCGUUGUCCGGAUUCAUUGGGCGUAAAGAGCUCGUAGGCGGUUUAGCAAGUCGGGUGUGAAAUCUCCAGGCUCAACCUGGAGCGGCCAUUCGAUACUGCUAUGACUCGAGUCCAGUAGGGGAGUGUGGAAUUCCCGGUGUAGCGGUGAAAUGCGCAGAUAUCGGGAGGAACACCGGCGGCGAAGGCGGCACUCUGGGCUGGUACUGACGCUGAGGAGCGAAAGCGUGGGGAGCAAACAGG
rnacentral:rRNA from 1 species